AUAGGAAGAGGGCAGCUACUAUACAUAAUAGUUGCUGAGGUAGUGCGAGACCUAUCAGGAACAUCAACUAAAAAGCUUCUGUACAGCAAAGAAACAAUAAAAAGAGGGAACAGGCAGGUCGUGAAGAGCAGCUGGAGCAACCAGCCAGCGGCCGGUGAGGAACUCGGCAGCGUGGAGGCCCCGCUCCUUUCCCGCGCCCCCCUCCCAGCGACCAACUGGCAGGAAGAUGAGGACCUCGGCCUGCCGGGUAGAGCCCACAUUCCCUGAGUCCUGAGACCAGCCCGUAUCUGCAGCUUGGAGCCCUGGCUCCGACCCCUUGCCUCGCCUCCAGCGACCAGCCGGUGUAAUGUGAGGACCUCAGCCGUGUGGUGGAGUCCCCACUCUGUCCCCGCGCCCUGCCCCCAGCGACCAGCCCAAGAAAGAUAGGAUGAGAUCCUUUGGAAAGACAAUUAAGAAAGGGGGACAGCAUGGAGUGCAUCACUUUGUCAGCUUUUAGUGCUUGAAUAUUUCUGCAUUUUCAGUGAGGCUCCACCCACAGCACAGUGAGGACCCAGGUGCAGCUUGGAGCCCUUGCUCCAUCCCACACUCCACUCAGUGCAGCCAACCAGCACAAGCUGACGAUCCAGGCAGUGUGAAGCCCAACCCUAAACCCACCCACCCCACCCCACCCGCGCUCCAUUGUGGGCUCCGCCCAUGGCACAGUGAGGACCCAGGUACAGCUUGGAGCCCCCACUCCACCCACACUCCACUUAGCACAACCAACCAGCCCAAGCUGAGGAUCCAGGCAGCAUGAAGCCCCACCCACCCCCACUCCAUUCCAAGCUCCACCCAUGGCACAGUGAGGACCCAGGUAUGGCUUGGAGCCCCCACCCCAUCCCAUGCUCUGCUUAGCCAUCCAGGCACCUGUAGGGCUCAAUCGUGCUCACACACACACACACACACACACACACACCCGUCAUCCAUACCCCCUCUCUGGCCUCCUGGCUCUUCUGCUACCUGGUUCCACACUACAGAGGCACAGGAGAUUAUACAGGCCCUUU